AAUCCUGACACGCUCCACAACAGCUGAUGCUCCUGGACAGGUUGGAGUAACCAGCAUCCCUCCACUCACCAACCCUCCAUCAUCCCUGCCAACCAGCCACCCAUCAGCCAACUGGCCGCUUGUCCUCUCAAACAACCCUCCACCAGUCCUGCCAUGCAGCCUCCCAGUGCCAUGUUGAAUCAGGAAGCAACCAUUCAAUCACUGGAGGAGAGAAGUAUUACCCGGUGAAGAAGGGGAACGUAAUGGAACUGGUGGAGCGGGAGCCCUGUUCCAUGUGUGGGAAGACGUGGCGCUUGCAGUGUGUGCCAAAGGAGAACACCGGGAGUUGACAUACAUACACACAACAUGAAUAUACACAAAACGCAUACACACACACAAAUGUGACAUAAAAGGUUCAAUGUUAA